CUUCAUCUUCUGGAGCUUAUCCUUCAAUUUCAAUUUUCCCUUGAGUUUAUUCUCCUCUUCUUCACCCCAAUUCUCCUCUUCUUCACCCCAAACAAACCCAGACCCUCCACAAAUCAUCUUUCUUCAUCUUCUUUUUCCCUGGACUUAAGGUUCAAACCCUGGAAUUAAAUACCUCUUAUAGCUUCGUUCAAUGAACCGGCAUCAAAUAUGGACAUGAAUUCAAAAUUUUUUUUAACAUUCUGGCUGGUAAAAGAUGAAGAGGAAAAACGGAGGAUCAGAAAAUCGCAACCAAAUGAGAUCCAUCAAAUUCCCUCUUCCAGAUGAAGCAGCAGAGAUGAAGCAGCAGAGUAAUGAAUUGUGCACAGAUGAAGCAGCAGAGUAAUGUAUUGUUUACCCUGCACAAUUGGGCAUUGAUAAACACCCUAUGAAAUUUAAUAAUAAAUCACUCAAAAUGGCAUGAAAAAUUGAAUUCUUUCCAUUAAUUUUGGCUAUCAUAUUUAAUUAUUUCCAUUAA